rnacentral:rRNA from 1 species
GACGAACGCUGUCGGCGUGCUUAACACAUGCAAGUCGAACGGAAAGGCCCUGCUUUUGUGGGGUGCUCGAGUGGCGAACGGGUGAGUAACACGUGAGUAACCUGCCCUUGACUUUGGGAUAACUUCAGGAAACUGGGGCUAAUACCGGAUAGGAGCUCCUGCUGCAUGGUGGGGGUUGGAAAGUUUCGGCGGUUGGGGAUGGACUCGCGGCUUAUCAGCUUGUUGGUGGGGUAGUGGCUUACCAAGGCUUUGACGGGUAGCCGGCCUGAGAGGGUGACCGGCCACAUUGGGACUGAGAUACGGCCCAGACUCCUACGGGAGGCAGCAGUGGGGAAUAUUGCACAAUGGGCGGAAGCCUGAUGCAGCAACGCCGCGUGCGGGAUGACGGCCUUCGGGUUGUAAACCGCUUUCGCCUGUGACGAAGCGUGAGUGACGGUAAUGGGUAAAGAAGCACCGGCUAACUACGUGCCAGCAGCCGCGGUGAUACGUAGGGUGCGAGCGUUGCCCGGAUUUAUUGGGCGUAAAGGGCUCGUAGGUGGUUGAUCGCGUCGGAAGUGUAAUCUUGGGGCUUAACCCUGAGCGUGCUUUCGAUACGGGUUGACUUGAGGAAGGUAGGGGAGAAUGGAAUUCCUGGUGGAGCGGUGGAAUGCGCAGAUAUCAGGAGGAACACCAGUGGCGAAGGCGGUUCUCUGGGCCUUUCCUGACGCUGAGGAGCGAAAGCGUGGGGAGCGAACAGGCUUAGAUACCCUGGUAGUCCACGCUGUAAACGGUGGGUACUAGGUGUGGGGUCCAUUCCACGGGUUCCGUGCCGUAGCUAACGCUUUAAGUACCCCGCCUGGGGAGUACGGCCGCAAGGCUAAAACUCAAAGGAAUUGACGGGGCCUCGCACAAGCGGCGGAGCAUGCGGAUUAAUUCGAUGCAACGCGUAGAACCUUACCUGGGUUUGACAUGGAUCGGGAGUGCUCAGAGAUGGGUGUGCCUCUUUUGGGGUCGGUUCACAGGUGGUGCAUGCCUGUCGUCAGCUCGUGUCGUGAGAUGUUGGGUUAGGUCCCGCAACGAGCGCAACCCUUGUUCACUGUUGCCAGCACGUUAUGGUGGGGACUCAGUGGAGACCGCCGGGGUCAACUCGGAGGAAGGUGGGGAUGACGUCAAGUCCUCAUGCCCCUUAUGUCCAGGGCUUCACGCAUGCUACAAUGGCUGGUACAGAGAGUGGCGAGCCUGUGAGGGUGAGCGAAUCUCGGAAAGCCGGUCUCAGUUCGGAUUGGGGUCUGCAACUCGACCUCAUGAAGUCGGAGUCGCUAGUAAUCGCAGAUCAGCAACGCUGCGGUGAGUACGUUCCCGGG